ACCAAUAGAAGGUGGCAAGAUAAAAGUCCACACAGAAAAAAUGCUCAAUAAGAUAGCAUAAUCAACACUAUAGUACAAAAUUACCUGAACAGACAUUAAUCCCAGCUUCACGGACAUGCUUAAGGGUUUCCAAAUGUUCAUCAUAACUACUUGUAGUAAUGAUUUUGGGGUAAUAUUCUCUUGAGGUAUCAAGGUUAUGGUUGUGCGCUGUAAGGCCUGCUUUCUUGAGUUCUAUAGCCUGCUGCUUCUCCAGCAUGCCCAAGGUGCAGCAAACCUCCAUUCCCAUGUCCCUCAUACAUGACAGAUUAAAACCCAGCUCAACAUUUGGCGGAUAAGCAAGAAAAUCUAAGACAAAGUUAGUCAAAUUUUCAAAAGCUAUGGCAAACAAUUAAUAGGACAAGUAGCUCAUGAAGCAUUGUAGAAGUUCUAUUACUUUUGAAACGUACGGAAACCCAAGAAAAGAAUUGAUGUUAAAAUUAUGAAUUGGAAAGCAUCAUAACAUAAGACAGAAGCUGUAUUCCAUGUAAUUCUUUUGUUGAAAAGAAAUAUUCGCUGGCUGUGUGUUGUUGCAUAUAACUUGAUAGUAAAAUACAAAAGCAUAUUCAAAUUUCUUGCAUUUAACAAAAUAAAAUUUUCAUCAACCCAGAGUUGACAUUACAUUACAGUCAACAUCUACAGUACUUACAUUGUCCAAGUAUCACAACUGAAUUCAUAGGGGGGAAAAUAACUGCUGUACCGUACAUCCGCCUUGGCCGUACAGCAGAUUUUCUACGUAUUUUAAUAAAUUUCCAUUUUGCCCCUAGUUCAAUUAUGAGUAUCUAAUUUUCUUUCAAGCUUGGGUUGAAGGUGAAGUCUCAACAUGUGUCAUGGGCUUUAAUUGGUAAAUUUACUUUCUCUUCCCCUCUAGUUUUUGACAACUCUCUGCUUCGGAAACAUUUGCUUCGCCUUCAUGAAAACUGGGAGCUUUAGGAGUGAGUCCAAGAACCUUGAACAUGAGUUGAUCAGCAUCGAAAUCGUUGUUAGGAGUUGUCAAAAGUUUUUCGCCAGUAAAGAUGGAAUUAGCACCGGCAAGAAAACACAGUGCCUGCUCCGGCAUGGAGAAACGAACUCUUCCAGCCGAUAAUCUGACCAUUGCUUUUGGCAUGACUAUACGUGCUGUAGCAAUCAUCCGAAUCAUCUCCCAUAUUUCAACUGGCUGAACAUGGAAUUAGAAAACAGACUUUGGUUAUUUCCAAGCAUAAAGUAACCUUUCAUGGACAUGCAAAGCUUUUUAGAUGCUCUUUAACAAUGAUGGCUGGCGUAUACAACAUAGUGGGAGUAAAUAUGCUGAAGUAGAUCAUUCUUCCAAGCAAAACUUUUAUUAUUGGCAAUUUUUAUCAGACUAUGUGGAUUUACCAAUGAUUUAUAUUAAAGAGCAAUAAAUGAUAAGAGAGAAACAACAUCAAUGACAGAAUAUGCUUGCAGUAAAAUAUGAUAUAUAUUCCACCACAACAUUAAAUGGUAUUGUGUUAAACAGGAAUAAAGUCACCUUCUGAUCUUGAAGAGGGGUGCCUUUCACUGCAAGCAGCGCAUUGAUGGGAACACUCUCUGGAUGAGUAGGGAGUGUUGCUAGUGUAUGCAACAAACCAACUCUGUCCUCCUCUGCUUCUCCAAGCCCUAUUAUACCACCUAUGAACAGAAAAUCAAAUACUCAUUGUCAAUAUCUGUUUAUCUUUGCAUUAAAAGAGGAAAAAGAAAGAUCUAUUUGACAUUGAGGUUGACGAAUGUUCGGUGAAUUUUAACAAUGUCACCUUGAAAUUAGAACAGAGAAUUGCAUAACCACCAAAUUAAAAUGAAACGCUUAUGCAAAUAUCAUUUAUUUCAGUUCAUGUGAUGAUUUUGAGGCUCGAAAAAGGCAUUGAUUUGAAGGUUAGAAUUCCCAACUGAGACACGUUAAUUUCAAGUGAUGUUUGCAAAGACAAUCUAACUCCGCAGACAAUAUCCUACCAAGCUUAUUAAAAAAAAAAAAAAGAAGCAAAGUAACCAUCAUCGUCGCCACCUCUUGAAUAAACAGAUUAAUCAUUUCCUUUCUAGAAUCUUAACAUGUUUGGAAGUUUAUACCAGGAAUCUUGAAUUAACUCAGCAGUGUAGAACUUCUUUUUUUUUUUUUUAAUUAUUUAUCAAUCAAACAUGUUUACCAGUGUAUUCUUUAUACAAACAAUCAACCUAGUAAAAGAGAAUAAACCCUUUAAUGAAAUUUCUAACUCUGUGUUCAGUGAAACUGAAAUUCAACUCUACCCAGGAAAAACUCGGGUUCCUAGCUAUCUGUUGCCAAUGAUGGAGAUGAGUGAUAUUUGUUCUCACUUAAGAGACUUUUAGCAGAUUUAGUAAUUAAUUCAUCUCAAUCCUAAACUUGGCCUCUUUGAGAUGACUAAUACUUAAAAAGCUGCAAAUGACAAAAACCACCAACAGCAUAUGGAGUUGUAUCAUAUGGUUUGGCACCAAUAUGAACCCUAGGUGAGGAGCUUGUCCACCUUUAAGAAGGAGCACAUAUCAUCUUAAAAGUGGAUAUCAUCUUUCUGUGGAGGUUAAAGAAAACCAUACAAUAUAAAAAGUCUUCCUUCCCUUUUCUACUGCUUUUCACCAUUUAAUUUCUCAAUCCGCCCAUUCAACCAAGAGGAGGUGGCAAGAUAAAAGUCCACGCAAACAAAAUGUUUAAUAAGAUAGUAUAAUCAACACUAUAGUACAAAAUCACCUGAACAGACAUUAAUCCCAGCUUCACGGACAUGCUUAAGGGUUUCCAAGCGUUCAUCAUAACUUCUUGUAGUAAUGAUUUUCGAGUAAAAUUCUCUUGAGGUAUCAAGGUUAUGGUUGUAUGCUGUAAGGCCUGCUUUCUUGAGUUCUAUAGCCUGAUGCUUCUCCAGCAUGCCCAAGGUGCAGCAAACCUCCAUUCCCAUGUCCCUGAUACAUGACAGAUUAAAACCGAGCUCAACAUUUGGCGGAUAAGCAAGAAAAUCCAAGACAAAGUUAAUCAAACUUUCAAAAGCUAUGGCAAACAAUUAAUAAGACAAGUAGUGCAUGAAGCAUUAUAGAAGUUCUAUUAAUUUUGAAAAGUACAGAAACCCAAGAAAGAAUUGAUGUUAAAAUUACGAAUUGGAAAGCAUCAUAACAUAAAACAGAAGUUGUAUUCCAUGUAAUUCUUUUGUUGAACGGAAAUAUUCGCUGGCUGUAUGUUGUUGCAAAUAACUUGAUACUAAAAUGCGAAAGCAUAUUCAAAAUUCUUGCAUUUAACAAAAUAAAAUUUUCAUCAACCCAGAGUUGACAUUACAUUAGGUCAACAUCGACAGUACUUACAUUGUCCAAGUACCACAACUGAGGGGAAAAAUAAAAAGUAAAGAGAACUGGUCUAAGAAAUACACAACCCACUUAAUUAUGGUUCUAAAUAAGUUCCCUUAAUUUUGGAAUUCCCACAUUAUAAUAACAU
rnacentral:lncRNA from 1 species